rnacentral:rRNA from 1 species
CCUACGGGAGGCAGCAGUGGGGAAUAUUGCGCAAUGGGCGAAAGCCUGACGCAGCGACGCCGCGUGAGGGAUGAAGGUCUUCGGAUCGUAAACCUUUGUCAGCAGGGAAGAACGGUCACUGUGCUAAGCAGCAGUGAAUUGACGGUACCUGCAAAGGAAGCACCGGCUAACUCCGUGCCAGCAGCCGCGGUAAUACGGAGGGUGCGAGCGUUAAUCGGAAUGACUGGGCGUAAGGCGAUCGUAGGCGGUAUGUCAAGUCAAGGGUGAAAUCCCCGCGCUCAACGUGGGAACUGCCUUUGAAACUGGCAAACUGGAGUGUGUGAGAGGAUAGUGGAAUUCCAGGUGUAGGAAUGAAAUCCGUAGAUAUCUGGAGGAACAUCAGUGGCGAAGGCGACUAUCUGGCACAUAACUGACGCUGAGGAGCGAAAGCGUGGGUAGCAAACAGGAUUAGAUACCCCGGUAGUC